rnacentral:rRNA from 1 species
GGACUGGAGUCUGCAACCCGACUCCACGAAGCUGGAUUCGCUAGUAAUCGCGCAUCAGCCAUGGCGCGGUGAAUACGUUCCCGGGCCUUGUACACACCGCCCGUCAAGCCAUGAAAGCCGGGGGUGCCUGAAGUCCGUGACCGCGAGGGUCGGCCUAGGGUAAAACUGGUGAUUGGGGCUAAGUCGUAACAAGGUACC